CGUCCACAGAUCCAUUAUCCAGAACUAGUGUACUGGAAAGUGAGAAUGCUAAGUUGCGGGGAACGUCGGGCUCUUCCUUUUCCUAUUUUCUCUUCCCUUUGUCACUCUCUGUGAGUAAAGGUCAGUUUCGCUUGAACCAGUUUCUCCCACUGACAUCCUCUUCAAUCCUUUGUCCCUUCAUCUCUCAUCCGAUUCUUUACUAAACAGCUUAAAAUGUUUCUUUGUGUUAAAAAAAAAAAAAAGUUCAUUAUUUGACUCAUAGAAUCAAAUCCAUAAUUCAAAAAAAAAUGUACAGGGGGGUAGUGAAUCUUCCAGGACUGACUUUGCCAUCCAGUUGUUUUCCACCCUCAAACCCUGCACGUUUUAAAAUUUCGCCAACAGAUCUUCUGAUAAUCCUUCCCUUAAAAUGUGAAGCCCAAUUCCCCUUGACGGCGGGCCAGACUCACUAACUCUUGUAACGAGUGCAAUGUAGCCGACAAGGCUGAUCCUGUGUGACUUCUCAGACUAGGUCAUAAACGCCUUUACAACCCAGACCGCCAUCCCUGCACCCUUUCAUCAUUCAACUGGGAGAAGCCAGCCGUCAAGUCGCGGCACUGAAGCAUCCCUGGGGAGGGCUCCAUGUAGAGGAACUGCAGCCUUCCGCCCACUCUCACAUAUGGUGCCGAAACCCAGGAUAGGGUAGCUCUCUUGAGAGGGACUUCAAGACCUAUCUCAAGCCCCUGGUAUCUUAAAGAGGUCACCCUGUAACUUUGGCUUCUCAGACUGUGCCCCAGACACUACGUGCCAACUUCAGAUCAGGGGACUAUGGCUAUCAAAAAGCAAUUUACACUUGUGAUUCACCUCUGCUAAGAUUGAUAUAACUGAUCUCUUCUGGGUAUUCAACAACUAAAGUUCAGGGACCAGAACUAGAGAUAACCAGGCUAAAAAACAGCCAAUAUUUUGGCCCUGGCCCUCCAAGGUCAGCAGAGACCCAGUACAUGAGAAAACCUUUUCUACAGGAGCCUACAACUUUGCUCAAAUCAAUUAUAACUUAUGCUGGAGGUCUCCAGUGACCCUCACCCGCCUGCUUCCCGGACCUUCUUGCCUUGGCUGUGGAAGACUGAACUUACCCAAAGGCUGUGGAGGCCUCCUGGAACAUCUCGAAUGCUGAAC